rnacentral:rRNA from 1 species
GAUGAACGCUGGCGGCGUGCCUAAUACAUGCAAGUCGAGCGAUGCGGGGACGGGUGAGUAACACGUGGAUAACCUCCUUAAAGUCUCCGUCAACGUCGGGAAACAGGAGCUAAACGGGAUACUCAGAGGUGGAUGCGCGCUGCAGUAGCUAGUUGGUAAGGUAACGGCGUACCAAGGCAACGAUGCAUACCCGACCUGAGAGGGGGAUCGGGCAAACGGGAACGGAGACACGGUCCAGAAUCCUACGGGAGGCAGCAGUAGGGAAUCUUCCGCAAUGGACGAAAGGCUGACGGAGCAACGCCGCGUGAGUGAAGAAGGUGUUGGGAUCGUAAAACUCUGUUAUUAGGGAAGCGGUACCUAAUCAGAAAGCCACGGCUAACUACGUGCCAGCAGCCGCGGUAAUUC